CCCUUAGACGUUCUGGGCCGCACGCGCGCUACACUGACAAAGGCAACGAGCUACUCUUCACCGAAAGGUGUGGGUAAUCUUUUGAAACUUUGUCGUGCUGGGGAUAGAUCCUUGCAAUUUUUGAUCUUAAACGAGGAAUUCCUAGUAAGCGCAAGUCAUCAACUUGCGUUGAUUACGUCCCUGCCCUUUGUACACACCGCCUGUCGCUACUACCGAUUGAAUGGUUUAGUGAGGCCUUCGGAUCCGCGACUCGUUUGUGGAGAAGUUGGACAAACUCAGUCAUUUAGAGGAAGUAAAAGUCGUANCA
rnacentral:rRNA from 1 species